rnacentral:rRNA from 1 species
AGAUUGAACGCUGGCGGCAUGCCUUACACAUGCAAGUCGAACGGUAGAGUAGCAAUACUUGAGAGUGGCGAACGGGUGAGUAAUAUAUCGGAACGUGCCCAGUCGUGGGGGAUAACGUAGAGAAAUUUACGCUAAUACCGCAUACGAUCUAAGGAUGAAAGCGGGGGACCGUAAGGCCUCGCGCGAUUGGAGCGGCUGAUAUCAGAUUAGGUUGUUGGUGAGGUAAAAGCUCACCAAGCCGACGAUCUGUAGCUGGUUUGAGAGAACGACCAGCCACACUGGGACUGAGACACGGCCCAGACUCCUACGGGAGCAGCAGUGGGGAAUUUAGGACAAGUGGGCGAAAGCCUGAUCCAGACAAUGCCGCGUGCAGGGAAGAACGGCCGUUCGGGUUAGUAAACGUGUCUUUUGUACGGUAACGGAAACGGUUCGU